rnacentral:tRNA from 1 species
GGCAAGAUGGCCGAGUUGGUUAUGGCGUGAGGUUAAGGUCACCUUAGCACAGAUUCCUCAUGGAGUAAUCCGCGUGGGUUCAAGUCCCACUCUUGUCA